AUUGAACGCUGGCGGCAGGCCUAACACAUGCAAGUCGAGCGGUAGAGAGAAGCUUGCUUCUCUUGAGAGCGGCGGACGGGUGAGUAAUACCUAGGAAUCUGCCUGAUAGUGGGGGAUAACGUUCGGAAACGGACGCUAAUACCGCAUACGUCCUACGGGAGAAAGCAGGGGACCUUCGGGCCUUGCGCUAUCAGAUGAGCCUAGGUCGGAUUAGCUAGUUGGUGAGGUAAUGGCUCACCAAGGCUACGAUCCGUAACUGGUCUGAGAGGAUGAUCAGUCACACUGGAACUGAGACACGGUCCAGACUCCUACGGGAGGCAGCAGUGGGGAAUAUUGGACAAUGGGCGAAAGCCUGAUCCAGCCAUGCCGCGUGUGUGAAGAAGGUCUUCGGAUUGUAAAGCACUUUAAGUUGGGAGGAAGGGCAUUAACCUAAUACGUUGGUGUCUUGACGUUACCGACAGAAUAAGCACCGGCUAACUCUGUGCCAGCAGCCG
rnacentral:rRNA from 1 species